UCUAAGGAUUAUUACGGAAUAGAUGACUCGGUCAUCUACGAUUACACUUGCUGUUCAGUUUUGAAGGUUUAUGAAUCUUCUAAAACUUGUUCUUUGAAAACUGGAUAAAACGACAUUGAAAGUAACAAACAAAUUUCUAUUAUAGAUUUUUUU
rnacentral:misc_RNA from 1 species